rnacentral:tRNA from 1 species
GGAGAGGUGGCCGAGCGGUUUAAGGUACUGGACUUGAAAUCCAGCGUAGGGGCAACUCUACCGUGGGUUCGAAUCCCACCCUCUCCGCCA